AACGAACGCUGGCGGCAUGCUUAACACAUGCAAGUCGAACGAAGUAUGCAGCUUGCUGUAUACUUAGUGGCAGACGGGUGAGUAACGCGUGGGAAUCUAACCAGUAGUGGGGAAUAACCAUGGGAAACGAUGGCUAAUACCGCAUAAGCCCCUAGGGGGAAAGGCUUCGGCCGCUAUUGGAGGAGCCGCGGUCGGUUUAGGUAGUUGGUGGGGGAAUGGCCGACCAAGCCGAUGAUCCGUAGCUGCUCUGAGAGGAUCAUCAGCCACACUGGAACUUAGACACAGUCCAGACUCCUACGGGAGGCAGGAAUGGGGAAUAUUGGACAAUGGGGGAAACCCUGAUCCAGCAAUGCCGCGUGAGUGAAGAAGGCCUUAGGGUUGUAAAGCUCUUUCAAUAGGGAAGAUGAUGACGGUACCUAUAGAAGAAGCCCCGGCUAAAUCCGUGCCAGCAGCCGCGGUAAUAC
rnacentral:rRNA from 1 species